AAAUGCAGCUAGGGGAGCAAUUUGCUGAGACCAUUUUUGGGAACCCUUUGAACCUGUGAGUCAAUACUCGCGUAGGGAAGCUUAACGAUAUGAGU
rnacentral:ncRNA from 2 species